UUACUUCUUGGUAUUCCCAAAACACAAAUCCGUUGCACCGCCAAAACAGCGUUGCGCGAUUUUAGCAAGCUUUGGAAAUGGCGCAUGGUUAAAUGGCGGUAGAAAGAGUGCCGUCGUAACCCGCUCCUGAUCAUAGUUCUUAACCGGAGUUUCCUUUUCUGCCGACACAAUGGGAUGUAGCGACGAAGAAUCCGAAGACGAAGCCGGAGUCUCUGCGAUUAGGGCUCUCGGCUCUCUCUUCAAGUUGACCGAAGUCUUUCUCUGGGACGAUGAGACAGAAGUAGCUAGACGAGUGGAAAGUAGUUUAGCUCUUGAUGCUGAUGACGCCAAUAACGAAAACUUCGGGGAGAAAAUCUGUACCACUAUCAGUGGUAUCAGCUUAUUACCGGAGGAUAUCGAACUUACAGAACAGAUGAAUGCUUUGGGGCUUCCUCUUUCAUUCCACACAAACAAAGAGCAGAAGAGAAUUGGAAUCACCAUGGGUAAAAGAAAAGCAACUGUCAAGCAUUCCAGAACCCAGCAAGGAUUUCUAGACAAAGAAGUGGAGUUUCCCAAUGCGAGCAGCAGGGAGGAGAUUGUAGCUAACAUUAAUUUUAAUGAUGAUGCCAUAGGUUCUCUAUGUUACUUGUCUAUGGUGAACCAAAGUGAGAAAUCUGAUCGUGAUGUUGUGUUGGAUGCCAAUGAAUCCCAUGUCAUUUCUGGUGGAAAUAUUUCACCUAAUUUAAGUGUCCUUAUAAGUGGUGCUGUUGAAGAACAAUCUUGCGACGUUAUGUGCAAUUUUGUGCUAAAUAAUGGAGGAGACCAUGAGUUAAGCUUAGGUGAUGCUGUCUUGGGGGAUCAUACAGAAGUUAGAUCGAGUUCAAUUGGUUUAGUUAAAGUUCAUUCUCCAAGAAUGUGUAUGACAGGUCUUGAUGUCGACCAUGGCAAGCAGGAGGAAGUUGAACCACCUAUGGAGUUGGAAGGUUCGUCCAUGACUUUACAAGAUACUGAAGUGCAGAAGUCCGACAUUGAUAGUGGCAUUGGACUGCCAAUUGUGCCUGAAUCAUCUCUGCUUCAUACGGAAGCUGAUUAUAAUGAAGAUGACCACGUUGUUGGAUGUAUUGAUGAAUCUGGAGAAUGGAUGGUGUAUUGGGAUUCUUUUUAUAAGAGAAACUACUUCUAUAAUAUGAAGACACAUGAGUCUACUUGGAAUCCUCCUCUAGGGUUGGAACAUUUUGCAUUUUCUGAUGCAAAUUUCACAGAAAAUGAACCAAGUGCUGGAGUUGUCCAAAUGGAUGUAUUAGAAGACAUAAAAUCAGAAGAUAUUUGCGUGCUUGAUGAUACCAGGUCAUGUAUGAAUUUAAUUGGCGAUAAUGUCCAUUGUCAACCACCUGAUGCACUUUUGGAGGGCUCUAGUGUUGUAGCUGAGGGCUCCGAGCGUGUCGCAUCUGUCAAUACUCCAGUCAACAGUUAUAAGCAAUCUGAUGAACCUCAAGAGCGGCAGAUGAGUUGUAAAAAUAUUGGGGAAAAUAUUGGAUGCAGUUGUGAAGGUCAUGUCAAGCAACUAUGUCAUGAGAACUGCAGCAAUGGUUUCCAGCUCAUUGUUGCAAAUGUAGCUUCUGAACAAAAGACCUUUGGCCAUUGCAAACCUAGUAACAUGAACUCACCUGAGAUGGAUUGUGUCACCAUAGAUGAUGAUGAAGGUGCAGUGGGUUUAGCUACUAGCAGUGCUUCUCAUAUGCCUCAGCAGGCAGAUCAUAUGGAUGGUGAUAUGUAUUUUGGAAAUGGACCUACCAUAUGUACACUGGGUACUGAGCAAAAUCUUUCGGGAAGAAAUAGGAAAAAGAAAAUGAAAAGAACACGCAGACGUGGACAGCUAUCAAAUAGAAAUGAAGCAUUUCAUUCUCUUGCAAUCACUGAAGAGUAUCCCACAAGUAUUACUAAGUAUUGGUGUCAGAGGUAUCAACUUUUCUCCAGAUUUGAUGAUGGUGUAAAAAUGGACAAAGAAGGAUGGUUCUCUGUAACUCCAGAGCCUAUAGCUAGGCAUCAUGCAUCACGUUGCGGAAGCAAUACGAUAAUUGACUCUUUCACUGGUGUUGGUGGAAAUGCCAUCCAGUUUUCCCAAAGGGCCAAACAUGUUAUCGCAAUCGAUAUUGACCCGAUAAAGAUUAGAUAUGCCCAACAUAAUGCUGCCAUAUAUGGUGUUGGAGAUCAAAUAGAUUUCAUAAAGGGGGACUUCUUCUGUUUGGCCCCACAUCUCAAGGCCGAUGUUAUAUUCUUAUCACCUCCUUGGGGAGGCCCUGAUUACGCCAGAGUUGAUAUUUAUGACCUAAAGACCAUGCUCAAACCACAUGAUGGAUAUUUUCUAUUCAACAUUGCUAAGAAAAUUGCUCCCGUCAUUGUCAUGUUUCUUCCAAAGAAUGUUAGUCUUGACCAACUAGCGGAGCUGUCUCUUUCUUCAGAUCCUCCGUGGUCACUUGAGGUUGAGAAAAACUUUUUAAAUGGCAAACUGAAGGCGAUUACUGCUUACUUUAGCAAUGGCUCUACGAGCGAACACAAUGUCACCUAAUGCUCGAUAUCAUAGAGAACUUCUCCAGCAAACAGUGAUGGGUAGAAGGUGUUUAAAUUAUUGGUUUGCCAAAUUAGAACAAUUUGGCGGACAUGGAGGCGGAAUAGUUCAUUGUACCAUACACACAACUCUUACAAUUGAAGAAGCAUGCUCUCAUGGGCCAACGUUCCAAUAGCCUCAUAGAACAAAGAUGGAUAUUUUUUUAGGCUUCAGUUAGAUAGGGACUGUUGUUACAGAUGCAAAGUUAUUUCCAGUGAAAUAAGAAGGUGAUGAUGGUUCAUGAACCAACCUAGCGCACUCAACGGAUUUGAAGAUAAAGAGGAAAUGCUAUUCCUUUCCUGUUUACUAAAUUUACAAAUUUACAAUCAAACCAAUGUUGACUGCUCUAUUUCCAGUCAACCUUGGCAUGGCAGAUAAGUGCGUGUAAAAAUGUUAGAUGAGAGAGUAAUAAUUUCGAUCCCCAAGAAAAAGAAAAAUCUCACCUUUUGAAUUGUAUUAAAGUUUGAAAUAUUUUUCUUAACCUUCAGGUUAAAAGUUUAAAUUUUAACCUCACAUUUUGUUUAACCAAGGGGGGAAAAAUGGAAA